rnacentral:rRNA from 1 species
GACGAACGCUGGCGGCGUGCUUAACACAUGCAAGUCGAACGGUGAAGCGCUUGCCUUUUUGGUGGGUGUGGAUGAGUGGCGAACGGGUGAGUAACACGUGAGUAACCUGCCCUCUUCUUCUGGAUAACCUCAUGAAAGUGGGGCUAAUACGGGGUAUUCCGGGUCUGUCGCAUGGCGGGUUUGGGAAAGAUUGCGCCUUUGGGUGUUUUCGGUGGGGGAUGGUCUCGCGGCCUAUCAGCUUGUUGGUGGGGUGAUGGCCUACCAAGGCGGUGACGGGUAGCCGGCGUGAGAGGGUGGACGGCCACACUGGGACUGAGACACGGCCCAGACUCCUGCGGGAGGCAGCAGUGGGGAAUAUUGCACAAUGGGCGCAAGGCUGAUGCAGCGACGCCGCGUGAGGGAUGGAGGCCUUCGGGUUGUGAACCUCUUUCGCCAGUGAAGCAGGCCUGCUCCUGUGUGGGUGGGUUGACGGUAGCUGGAUAAGAAGCGCCGGCUAACUACGUG